GACGAACGCUGGCGGCGUGCCUAAUACAUGCAAGUAGAACGCUGAAGGAGGAGCUUGCUCUUCUGGAUGAGUUGCGAACGGGUGAGUAACGCGUAGGUAACCUGCCUGGUAGCGGGGGAUAACUAUUGGAAACGAUAGCUAAUACCGCAUAAUAGUAGAUGUUGCAUGACAUUUGCUUAAGAGGUGCGAUUGCAUCACUACCAGAUGGACCUGCGUUGUAUUAGCUAGUUGGUGAGGUAACGGCUCACCAAGGCGACGAUACAUAGCCGACCUGAGAGGGUGAUCGGCCACACUGGGACUGAGACACGGCCCAGACUCCUACGGGAGGCAGCAGUAGGGAAUCUUCGGCAAUGGACGGAAGUCUGACCGAGCAACGCCGCGUGAGUGAAGAAGGUUUUCGGAUCGUAAAGCUCUGUUGUAAGAAGAGAACGAGUGUGAGAGUGGAAAGUUCACACUGUGACGGUAUCUUACCCGAAAGGGACGGCUAACUACGUGCCAGCAGCCGGCGGUAUACGUUAGCCCCGAGCGUUUUCCGGAUUUAUUGGGGGUAAAGGCGAGCGCAGGCGGUUUAAAUAAAUUUGAAAGUAAAAGGCUGGGGUUUAACCAUAGUACGCUUUGGAAACUGUUUAACUUGAGUGCAAGAGGGGAGAGUGGAAUUCCAUGUGUAGCGGUGAAAUGCGUAGAUAUAUGGAGGAACCCCGGUGGCGAAAGCGGCUCUCUGGCUUGUAACUGACGCUGAGGCUCGAAAGCGUGGGGAGCAAACAGGAUUAGAUACCCUGGUAGUCCACGCCGUAAACGAUGAGUGCUAGGUGUUAGACCCUUUCCGGGGUUUAGUGCCGCAGCUAACGCAUUAAGCACUCCGCCUGGGGAGUACGACCGCAAGGUUGAAACUCAAAGGAAUUGACGGGGGCCCGCACAAGCGGUGGAGCAUGCGGUUUAAUUCGAAGCAACGCGAAGAACCUUACCAGGUCUUGACAUCCCUCUGACCGCUCUAGAGAUAGAGUUUUCCUUCGGGACAGAGGUGACAGGUGGUGCAUGGUUGUCGUCAGCUCGUGUCGUGAGAUGUUGGGUUAAGUCCCGCAACGAGCGCAACCCCUAUUGUUAGUUGCCAUCAUUUAGUUGGGCACUCUAGCGAGACCGCCGGUAAUAAACCGGAGGAAGGUGGGGAUGACGUCAAAUCAUCAUGCCCCUUAUGACCUGGGCUACACACGUGCUACAAUGGCUGGUACAACGAGUCGCAAGCCGGUGACGGCAAGCUAAUCUCUUAAAGCCAGUCUCAGUUCGGAUUGUAGGCUGCAACUCGCCUACAUGAAGUCGGAAUCGCUAGUAAUCGCGGAUCAGCACGCCGCGGUGAAUACGUUCCCGGGCCU
rnacentral:rRNA from 1 species